UUACUACCGAAGUUUCCUUUAAAAUAAUAAUAUUAUAUUUAAUUUUAUAAAGUAAAGCGAAUAAUUAAAGACUCGGGGGCGUUAUAUUGCCUUUAUUUAUUCUUAAACUUUAAAUAUAUAAAAAGCCUUUAUUAUUUAAUUAAACGUAAGCCUUCGAAUACACUAACACUAGUGGGCUAUUUUUAAUAAAUAAAACUAACGAUACGGGAUAAACCGAACGCGGGGUUAAGGUACCGGAGUAAACGCUUAUUAAACACUAUAAAAAGCGUUAAUACAUUUUAAUAAUAAAACGGUGGCUAUAAAAGUCGGAAUCCGUUAAAAAUUAUAUAAUAACUUACUUACCGAAUAUAUUAACUUUAAAAAUAAAUAACGCUUAAACGUCCCACCCAUACCCCGCCUUUAAAGUAAAAACAAAGCUUUAAAGAGUAAGCGGCCGUAAAGGUUAAUGACGAAGCUUAAAGCGUAAGCCCGGGUCGAACGGCCUUUAAUA
rnacentral:ncRNA from 1 species